rnacentral:lncRNA from 1 species
UUUGUUUUGGUCCGUUCUCCCUCGUUUCAAGUCGGAUUUUAGAUCCGUUUUUGCCUACGAACUCGUAUCGAGACGAACUUUGAUUCUUCUUCAGACCAUUCAACUAAAUUCUGACUUUACUUUUGUUCACAUAUCAAUCAAUGUGAGCACAAAAUCCUGAGACAACAAAAUUAGCACAAAAGCUCAAAUCAUUCAACUCUUAAGUGAAAGAGACCAAAAUAAAAGUCAAUAUAACACGUAAACACCCAGAGAUUCAUCACAAAAUAGGGCUAAACAACCUCCCCACACUUGAUCCUUUGCUUGUCCUCAAGCAAAGUCACGACACCAAAAGAUAGUUCACAAGAAAACUUCCUCACCAUUCACAUCUCCAACCAAUCUAAGUCUCUUAGCCAUUCACAUUCCUCACGAGAUGUUCAUUGUUAAGAUUUUAAGAAGCAACAACCACAUGAUACAAUUCAAUCCGAUCAGACCCAAUUCUCCGCUAGAGGUGAAUUCCCUAAUGUGAUUGCCUUUAUAAUCAAAUCCCAUUUUCCUUGAAGAUGAUAAACAAUCAAACCAAAAAAAAUUUAUACAUCUUUCUUUUAAAGGUGAUGUUAUUCCAUUCUCAAUAGAUGGGCCAACUUUCGUGAGAUCAACACU